rnacentral:rRNA from 1 species
GGAGCGUGUGGUUUAAUUCGAUGCACGAAGAACCUUACCCAGGCUUGACAUAGCAGUGAACGAUCGCGAAAGCGUGAGGCUCCUUCGGGACACUGUUACAGGUGCUGCAUGGCUGUCGUCAGCUCGUGUCGUGAGAUGUCCGGUUAAGUCCGGUAACGAGCGCAACCCUCGCUGUGUGUUAUAUGAGUCACACGGGACUGCCGGUAUCAAGCCGGAGGAAGGUGGGGAUGACGUCAAGUCAGCAUGGCCUUUAUAUCUUGGGCA